rnacentral:lncRNA from 1 species
UCUUCUUUAUAGGAUCCCAACCAGUCCUUGUUUGCCUUAGCAUUAGUUUGUAACGCCCGCAGAAAUCACCAACUAAAAAUCACCCGUUAAAAACCGUCCUUAAAACCUUUUUACCGCUGAGCUCCCUGAAAUCAGAAAUCUCCCCGGCGAUUUCGCCGUCCCGGUACCCAUGCCGACCCCCACCUAUCUUUUUACCCGUGCCCGUGAAUCUCGCCGAGCGCCGUCGUCAGACCGCCGCACGCGUGCUCCGACCGCGUGCUGCAAGUGCCGCCGGUCCCUUUCAUUUUCUCUCUCUUUCUUCCCCUUUUUCUUUUUCCCUUCCUUUCUUCCUCCUUCUUCUUUCUUCUUCCUCCUUCCUCCUUCUCUUUCCUCCUCCUUCUUCCUCCUGGUGGCU